AAUUGAUUGCAAAGUUGAUGUAAAUGUAAAUACCUUCAAUAUGAUAUCUAGCAAUGUUUUUUGAAAGAAAUGAACAAAAAUUCAAAGUUCUGGAUUAAAUGAACCGGUGUUGUGAUAUCAUCUGUGCAGUGUUGAAAUUGGAAUCGCUAGAAGAAAAUCAAGAGUCUUGGGGCCCACCUACGUCUGCUGAUGUGUUCAACAAGGAGAACAAUCUGCAGAACAUCUCCUCUGGGACAGACAAGAAGAAUCACAAUGGACCUAUGGACCAGAUGGGUGCCUGCCAUGUUUUUUUUUCUCAGAGCUUCUGUACGUGUACAUUUACAUGGAGUAUUUAUUUGAAAGGACAAACAAAUGGAAAAUCUUCCAUUUCUUACUGUAAUUGUGUUUGCAUGCUGUAAAAAAUCUAAUGUACAGGUAUUGUAUUUUUGUACAAAAUAAAUGUCAUUACUGAUAAAUUGC